rnacentral:rRNA from 1 species
GGAAUAGUACUAUUAAUGAAAUUUAACGGAUUUGGCGGCAAGAUAGCCACUUAGAGGAACCUGCCCUGUAAACGAUGAACCACGAUUAACCUUACUUUUAUUAGAAUCCAGUUUGUAUACCGCUGUUGUCAGUUAGUUUCUUUAGAAAACUUUCGUACAUGAAAAGUUCAAGGACUUCAAGUAAAGGUGCAGCUUAUGUAAAAGAUAGAGGUGGGUUACAAUUAAAAGAAUAAUAUGGAUAAAGUAGAGAAGAAACUUUUGAAGGUGGAUUUAAUAGUAAAGUUUAAAAAGACUUGAUUAGAGCUCUAUCUUGUGUACACACCGCCCGUCGCUCGCGGGAAAA